rnacentral:rRNA from 1 species
CGCGUAGGCGGGUUCCCAAGUCAGGGGUGAAAUCUUUCGGCUCAACCGGAAAACGGCCCCUGAUACUGGGAGUCUUGAGGGAGGUAGGGGCAUGUGGAACUUCCGGUGGAGCGGUGAAAUGCGUAGAUAUCGGAAGGAACGCCGGUGGCGAAAGCGACGUGCUGGACCUCUUCUGACGCUGAGGCGCGAAAGCUAGGGGGGCAAACGGGAUUAGAUACCCCGGUAGUCCUAGCCCUAAACGAUGGGUACUAGGUAGUGGACUUGACAUGGGUUCACUGCCGAAGCAAAGGUGUUAAGUACCCCGCCUGGGGAGUAUGGUCGCAAGGCUGAA